UUGAAAAUUGAAGAAUUGAACGGUUAUUAAAAUAUUUAACUUUUAAUGUUAAUCUCAAAAUGACGGCCACGGUAACUAAACAUAACGUAACUAAACGUAACGUACCUAAACGUAAGAAAAUUCGGUCAAGCGCGUUUCAUUUUUAUUUUUUUAGUUUUAGAGCUAAUGUGAGUUAAGUAGUUCAAUUAUAAAUCACCCUGUAUAAUAAUCACAUAGAAAAGGAGGCUACAUUGUAACCUACGAUCAGAAGUCAUCGCGUCGUAUAUACGGACAUAUUAUUCUUUAAUAAUAAUAAUACAAAAAUGAGGAUUUUGUACGUCUUAUUUUUGUGUUUCUCACUGGUUGCGGCACGGUACCCAAUCGAUGACUUCGGCCAUGAUUAUUGGUAUCUACGACAUCUUUACUCGGAAAAUAAAUUAAGAUAUAUGUACUUUAAAUCUACUGUCAAACCACCUCCGAUGAAGAAUUGAAGUACACACUAUAAUAUGGAACAAGAGACCACGUAAGAACCAUCAUCAUCAGCCUGAAGAUAUCCACUGCUGAACAAACACCUCUUUAGUCUACCAUCAUCAACGAAAAACAACUCAGCACAGAACAGUACCUUGCAAGUCUUACUCGUUUAUGUUACGUAGUUUAACGACAUCUAUGUUUUGAUUCUUGUAAUUAAAAUGAAUUAUAAGAUUU